UCUACCGCUUCCUCUUCCUCCUCCACCUCAUCUUCAUCAUCGUCAUCAUCCUCCUCCGAUGAUGAAUCUGCAUUCGCCCCGUCCACCUGUGUGAUCCGCUGGUCAUUCGCCCCGUCCACCUGUGUGAUCCGCUGGU
rnacentral:miRNA from 1 species